rnacentral:rRNA from 1 species
UACGUAGGUGGCAAGCGUUAUCCGGAUUUACUGGGUGUAAAGGGCGUGUAGGCGGGCUAGCAAGUCAGGUGUGAAAUUCCAGGGCUCAACCCUGGAACUGCACUUGAAACUGUUGGUCUUGAGUGAUGGAGAGGCAGGCGGAAUUCCGUGUGUAGCGGUGAAAUGCGUAGAUAUACGGAGGAACACCAGUGGCGAAGGCGGCCUGCUGGACAUUAACUGACGCUGAGGCGAGAAAGCGUGGGGAGCAAGCAGG